UACAGAGGUCUCAAGCGUUGUUCGGAUUCAUUGGGCGUAAAGGGUGCGUAGGUGGCGCUGUAAGUCGGGUGUGAAAUUUCGGAGCUUAACUCCGAAACUGCAUUCGAUACUGCGGUGCUUGAGGACUGGAGAGGAGACUGGAAUUCAUGGUGUAGCGGUGAAAUGCGUAGAUAUCGUAAGGAAGACCAGUGGCGAAGGCGGGUCUCUGGACAGUUCCUGACACUGAGGCACGAAGGCCAGGGGAGCAAAACGGG
rnacentral:rRNA from 1 species